rnacentral:misc_RNA from 1 species
AACGUAGGAGGCGAGCGUUAUCCGGAGUUACUGGGCGUAAAACGCGUGCAGGCGGAUCGAUAAGUCACUCAUGAAAGCUCCCGGCUAAACUGGGAGAGGUUGAGCGAUACUAUCGGUCUAGAGUGGAUGAGAGGUAAGUAGAAUUCCAUGUGUAGUGGUGAAAUGCGUAGAUAUAAGGAAGAAUACCAGUGGCGAAGGCGACUUACUGGCAUCCAACUGACGCUCAGACGCGAAAGCAUGGGUAGCGAACGGG